GAGGGCUGACGGAAUGUCGCGGGUCACUUUUUGUGAUCGGAGGAAAGUCCGGACUUCACAGGGCAGGGUGCUGGUUAACGACCAGGCGAGGCAACUCGACGGCAAGUGCAACAGAAAGCAAACCGCCUUUAUUGGUAGUGCAAACUCCGAUUUAGGUAAGGAUGAAACGGUGAGGUAAGAGCUCACCAGCAGUUUGGUGACAAGCUGGCUAGGUAAACCCCACCCGAAGCAAGGCCAAAUAGAGGAAUGGAGUCGCUCAUCGGCUCGACGUUGGCUCCGACGGAUUCCUGGGUAGGCUGCUUGAGGAUGCUGGUAACAGUUAUUCCAGAUGAAUGACAUUCACCUCCAGUUUCGCAAGCUCUUGAGAAAGAUGUUUUUAUGAAAGUAAAAAUAACUUCUCAUUUGAAAGCGAACAAUGGGGAACAGAAUCCGGCUUACAGUUGGCCCUCAAGA
rnacentral:RNase_P_RNA from 1 species